rnacentral:rRNA from 1 species
GUCUAUGGCCAUACCACCCUGAACUCGCCCGAUCUCGUCAGAUCUCGGAAGCAAAGCGGGGUUGAGCCUGGUUAGUACUUGGAUGGGAGACCGUCUGGGAAUACUGGGUGCCGUAGGCU